GUGGGGAAUCUUGCGCAAUGGGCGAAAGCCUGACGCAGCCAUGCCGCGUGAAUGAUGAAGGUCUUAGGAUUGUAAAAUUCUUUCACCGGGGACGAUAAUGACGGUACCCGGAGAAGAAGCUCCGGCUAACUUCGUGCCAGCAGCCGCGGUAAUACGAAGGGGGCUAGCGUUGCUCGGAAUUACUGGGCGUAAAGGGCGCGUAGGCGGACAGCUUAGUCAGAGGUGAAAGCCCAGGGCUCAACCUUGGAAUUGCCUUUGAUACUGGCUGUCUUGAGUUUGGGAGAGGUGAGUGGAACUCCGAGUGUAGAGGAGAAAUUCGUAGAUAUUCGGAAGAACACCAGUGGCGAAGGCGACUCACUGGCCCAAUACUGACGCUGAGGCGCGAAAGCGUGGGGAGCAAACGGGAUUAGAAACCCGUGUAGUCC
rnacentral:rRNA from 1 species